GGGGUCGGCACCCGUCACCAAAGGCGGCCGCGGCCGCAGUGGCGCCACACAGACCGGCUCCAGAGGCCGAGGGACGCCGUCGGCGUCGCGCGGCCGUGGACAAGGCUCGGCGGCGCGAGGCCGGGGGCGGGGUGCCGGCCGUGGCCGCCCCACCGCCCCCGUCAGCAAGGAGGCUCUCGACAAACAGCUGGAUGCUUACAUGUCCGGCACCAAAGGCCAGCUGGACGCCGAGCUGGAUGCUUACAUGAAGGAGGCAGACGUCUGAGCGGACGGGCCGGCGCAGUCGAACCGCUGCUAAGCCGCGAGCCGCCGACGUGACCCCGAUCCCGUCCCUGAUCCUGAUCCUGAUCGCGACCCCGUCCCCGUCCCCGGCCCCGGCACCGGCCUCGACCCUGACCCCGGGCCGGGCCAGGCCCCCUCAGGACGGCCGGAGUAGGCCGGCCACGCCCGAUGCACCCCCGCUCGUCCGUCCCCCUCUCUCAUACGCACCGCGCGCGGUGCUGUGGCGCGCCCGCCGCUGCUGUACAUACAUGGUUGCCACGGUGAAAUGUACUUCUUCGUUCGUACUGGGGUUUUGCGGCUGAGGAAAUGGAAGAUGGGAUAGACUGCGAGCGUUUGCCGGAAAGCAGAGGUGGCAAACAACAAUGUAGACGUGGUUGGGGGCAAGCAGCCGGUUUGCAUUGAUUGACGCGAUGCCAUAUGCUGUGCUCUCCCGCUCCGGACGCGACGCGAGGCCGCACGUGAGCGCCGGUCGGACCGACGAUGCCCCCACGGAGCCAGCCAAGUGCCGCUCCUACACAGCAUCAGAAUGUGAUCAGAGUGGGUCUGUCCAUCACACCCUGGCAUGGCCAAUUCUGAAGUUGAGGUGGUCGAUAGGAGAUAUGUUCGCAGAUCGCAGACCAUGGGCAGUUAAUCGGCUGUGGAAUUUCCGAGGCCCUGUAGCUGGAUCUGGCCGCGCGGUGCUGCCCUUCCUGCGUGGCGCCACGUGCUGAAAUAGAUGGCGGCACCAUGGGACUGGAGUAUGUGAACUGUCUGGCAAAAGAAAAUGUGUGACCCGGUCUUG